rnacentral:rRNA from 1 species
GACGAAGGGGGCUAGCGUUGUUCGGAAUUACUGGGCGUAAAGCGUGUGUAGGUGGUUGCCAUAGUCAGGUGUGAAAGCCUUGAGCUCAACUCAAGAAAUGCACUUGAUACUGGGCAGCUAGAGGACCGGAGAGGAUAGUGGAAUUCCCAGUGUAGUGGUGAAAUGCGUAGAGAUCGGGAGAACAUCAGAGGCGAAGGCGGCGAACUGGA